rnacentral:rRNA from 1 species
UGGGGAAUAUUGCACAAUGGGCGGAAGCCUGAUGCAGCGACGCCGCGUGGGGGAUGAAGGCCUUCGGGUUGUAAACUCCUUUCGACAGGGACGAAGCUUUUGUGACGGUACCUGUAUAAGAAGCACCGGCUAACUACGUGCCAGCAGCCGCGGUAAUACGUAGGGUGCGAGCGUUGUCCGGAAUUACUGGGCGUAAAGAGCUCGUAGGUGGUUUGUCGCGUCGUCUGGGAAAUUCCGGGGCUUAACUCCGGGCGUGCAGGCGAUACGGGCUGACUUGAGUGCUGUAGGGGAGACUGGAAUUCCUGGUGUAGCGGUGAAAUGCGCAGAUAUCAGGAGGAACACCGAUGGCGAAGGCAGGUCUCUGGGCAGUAACUGACGCUGAGGAGCGAAAGCAUGGGUAGCGAACAGG